UUACCGGCUUGACAUGACAGAGAUUCUUUUAGGCACAGGUGGUGCAUGGUUGUCGUCAGCUCGUGUCGUGAGAUGUUGGGUUAAGUCCCGCAACGAGCGCAACCCUGAUUUAGUUGCCAGCAUAUGGGACUCUAAGUGACUGCCGGUGAUAACCGGAGGAAGGUGGGGAUGACGUCAAAUCAUCAUGCCCCUUAUGCCGGGCUACACACGUGCUACAAUGGGGUACAAGGGGCACCGCGAGGUGAGCAAUCCCAAAACCUUCUCAGUUCGGAUUGUAGGCUGCAACUCGCCUACAUGAAGCCGGAAUCGCUAGUAAUCGUGAUCAGCAUGCACGGUGAAUACGUUCCCGGGCCUUGUACACACCGCCCGUCACACCACGAGAGUUUGAAACCGAA
rnacentral:rRNA from 1 species